GGCGUGCUUAACACAUGCAAGUCGAACGGUGAACACGGAGCUUGCUCUGUGGGAUCAGUGGCGAACGGGUGAGUAACACGUGAGCAACCUGCCCCUGACUCUGGGAUAAGCGCUGGAAACGGCGUCUAAUACUGGAUAUGUGACGUGACCGCAUGGUCUGCGUUUGGAAAGAUUUUUCGGUUGGGGAGGGGCUCGCGGCCUAUCAGCUUGUUGGUGAGGUAAUGGCUCACCAAGGCGUCGACGGGUAGCCGGCCUGAGAGGGUGACCGGCCACACUGGGACUGAGACACGGCCCAGACUCCUACGGGAGGCAGCAGUGGGGAAUAUUGCACAAUGGGCGAAAGCCUGAUGCAGCAACGCCGCGUGAGGGAUGACGGCCUUCGGGUUGUAAACCUCUUUUAGCAGGGAAGAAGCGAAAGUGACGGUACCUGCAGAAAAAGCGCCGGCUAACUACGUGCCAGCAGCCGCGGUAAUACGUAGGGCGCAAGCGUUAUCCGGAAUUAUUGGGCGUAAAGAGCUCGUAGGCGGUUUGUCGCGUCUGCUGUGAAAUCCCGAGGCUCAACCUCGGGCCUGCAGUGGGUACGGGCAGACUAGAGUGCGGUAGGGGAGAUUGGAAUUCCUGGUGUAGCGGUGGAAUGCGCAGAUAUCAGGAGGAACACCGAUGGCGAAGGCAGAUCUCUGGGCCGUAACUGACGCUGAGGAGCGAAAGGGUGGGGAGCAAACAGGCUUAGAUACCCUGGUAGUCCACCCCGUAAACGUUGGGAACUAGUUGUGGGGUCCAUUCCACGGAUUCCGUGACGCAGCUAACGCAUUAAGUUCCCCGCCUGGGGAGUACGGCCGCAAGGCUAAAACUCAAAGGAAUUGACGGGGACCCGCACAAGCGGCGGAGCAUGCGGAUUAAUUCGAUGCAACGCGAAGAACCUUACCAAGGCUUGACAUAUACGAGAACGGGCCAGAAAUGGUCAACUCU
rnacentral:rRNA from 1 species